CAACCUGCCCCAGGCUUUGGGAUAACCCCGGGAAACCGGGGCUAAUACCGAAUAUGACCUCUGACCGCAUGGUUGGUGGUGGAAAGUUUUUCGGCUUGGGAUGGGCUCGCGGCCUAUCAGCUUGUUGGUGGGGUGAUGGCCUACCAAGGCGACGACGGGUAGCCGGCCUGAGAGGGCGACCGGCCACACUGGGACUGAGACACGGCCCAGACUCCUACGGGAGGCAGCAGUGGGGAAUAUUGCACAAUGGGCGGAAGCCUGAUGCAGCGACGCCGCGUGAGGGAUGACGGCCUUCGGGUUGUAAACCUCUUUCAGCAGGGACGAAGCGUAAGUGACGGUACCUGCAGAAGAAGCGCCGGCCAACUACGUGCCAGCAGCCGCGGUAAGACGUAGGGCGCGAGCGUUGUCCGGAUUUAUUGGGCGUAAAGAGCUCGUAGGCGGCUUGUCGCGUCGACCGUGAAAACUUGGGGCUCAACCCCAAGCCUGCGGUCGAUACGGGCAGGCUAGAGUUCGGUAGGGGAGACUGGAAUUCCUGGUGUAGCGGUGAAAUGCGCAGAUAU
rnacentral:rRNA from 1 species